rnacentral:rRNA from 1 species
UACGUAGGGGGCAAGCGUUGUCCGGAAUCAUUGGGCGUAAAGCGCGUGUAGGCGGCCCGAUUAGUCCGCUGUGAAAGUCCAGGGCUCAACCCUGGAAUGCCGGUGGAUACUGUCGGGCUAGAGUCCGGAAGGGGCGAGUGGAAUUCCUGGUGUAGCGGUGAAAUGCGCAGAUAUCAGGAGGAACACCAAUGGCGAAGGCAGCUCGCUGGGACGUGGACUGACGCUGAGACGCGAAAGCGUGGGGAGCAAACGGG